AAACAUAGCCUUUAGCCGAACAAGUAUUAAAGGUCCCGCCUGCCCAGUGAUUUUCUUUAAACGGCCGCGGUAUCCUAACCGUGCAAAGGUAGCGUAAUCAUUUGUCUCCUAAAUAGGGACUUGUAUGAACGGCUAACUGAGGGCCCACCUGUCUCCUAAGGCCAAUCAAUGAAACUGAUCUCCCCGUACAAAAGCUGGGAUAAACCCAUAAGACGAGAAGACCCUGCGGAGCUUUAAAACAAACUAUUUUCAACCCACACCCCAACAGGGGCCCCUCCUUAUUUCAUAGCCCAGUUUUUCAGUUGGGGCGACUUUGGAGCAAAACAAAACCUCCAUGCCAGGGAACCCACCCCUAUCAAGGCCCACACGCCAAAACAACAAACUUUUGACCCAGUACGCCUGAGCAACGAACCAAGUUACCCCAGGGAUAACAGCGCCAUCCUCUUCAAGAGUCCAUAUCGACAAGAGGGCUUACGACCUCAAUGUUGGAUCAGGACAUCCUCGUGGUGCAGCAGCUACCAAGGGUUCGUUUGUUCAACGAUUAAAGU
rnacentral:rRNA from 1 species